rnacentral:rRNA from 1 species
UACAGAGGGUGCAAGCGUUGUUCGGAAUUAUUGGGCGUAAAGCGCGUGUAGGCGGCUUUUGCAAGUCGGGUGUGAAAGCCCUCAGCUCAACUGAGGAAGUGCGCCCGAAACUGCAGAGCUUGAGUGCCGGAGAGGGGUGGCGGAAUUCCCCCAAGUAGAGGUGAAAUUCGUAGAUAUGGGGGAGGAACACCGGUGGCGAAGGCGGCCGCCUGGACGGU